UAAAAAAUUUUUUUAAAAAUCUUGAAAACUCGAAUUAAAAAUAUAAUUAUGACAGAAGAAUAAAAAUAUUCUACAGAGAGCUAAUACAAUUUUUGUAAUCAUAAGAUUGGUCAUUCUGAAUCUAUUAGACAAUCUGCAGAUAAGUGACAGUUCUUCACACAAAAAUGAUUUUUUUCAAGUGUUUUGUUUUCUGAAAGGGAUAUUUUCAACUCAGAAACACUUGGUACUUAGCAUGACUUCCUGAGUUUAAUUUCAUGCCCUAAUUUGUCAUCACUGACUUGUUCAAAACCUCAGACCAUCCGCAGAGCUGUAGUCUGAGUAGUGACAUAGCAAUGUCCCUGGUUCCUCACUUGAUCCCAGAGCUGAUACAAAGUUGCAACUAAUCAGCCACAUUUUCUUCUCACCAGGUAUUGAUCACACUGAUGGAAAACAGCGGAGAAGAUAAUGAUCACCUUGCUGCGCCAAUAAUGGCAGCAGGGAGGCCAGUUCUUAUUUGAAUUUAUAGGUAUUUUGGUUGUAUGAGCUGCAAUGGGUUGGGAAGAUUUUAUUCGAAUUGCUCUUCCUGUAGCUGUCAUCACCUCUGGUGAUGGUUUGAUCUUGUUGAUACUGAGUUUAAACUCUGACUGGGUUCAAGGAUUCUCACAGGGACUCCUCUAUCAUGUACAGCCUAGUGAUUUAGUCUCAUCGUGGGCUAGGUCCUCUUUGAGGACUUUCUGGGAAGUUUGCAUGGGUUCUUGGAGCACACUAGAUUUUUCUGCCAUGUACAGGCAUGUAUGGUCCCAAGAGUCCCAAGUGUACCCAACAACAGAAUAGAGUUUCUCAGUAGUUUUAGGAUCAACUCAAACUGUCCAAACCCUCCAAGUCAGGAGAGACCUGAGGAUGGAUAGUACCCUUUGGAAUAAUCCCUCCUCUGUUAACUAUUACUUUGUUGCCCUAUCCUUACUCUCUUGUUGAGCUCAGAGUACAAUCUACUUCUGGGUAAAGGAGGUGAUUUUCCCCACUAGUAUGCAUCUUUUCAGAUCCUACCUUAUAAUUUUGGUGACAUACAGAUGAGUAAAUAGGUAAUAAAUGUUGAAUGAGCAUACUGAUACACUGAUUUUCUCUACAUUCUCAAACAUGGCACAAACAUUCAUUUUAUAAGUCAGUUUGAGAUCUUUUUUGGGUUUGUUUGUAAGACUGAUAAAAUUAAACUAGAGAUACUCCUAAGCAGAUAUUCUUAAAGUUAUCAGCUGCAUGCAUUGAUGUGACAGGAAAAACAAAAGGACACAUACUUAUUUGCCUUUUGUGUAGAUGUAACCAAAGAAAUAACAUUUGCUCAGAUACAUAGUAGGGCUUUUGUACAUACAUAAUAACAGAACUACCAGAAAAAUUAUCAUUAUAACUUUUUAGUCUUUUUAUUUUCUUCAUCUGGCAGAGAUUCUUAAUUCAAAGUGAUUUAAAAAAAAAAAAAACAAACAACACUCCCAAACAAAUUCAUUUUGUGAUAGCACUUUCUUUGUGAUUGCUAAGUGUCUGAAUACUCAUAACCUCAUUCUCAACCAUAACUUCCUUCCAUUGUUUUGUCCACUCAGUAAUCUUAUCUGGUAGAGCAUUACAUCAAAGGAAGUCUCAAGUUGCCAUGGAUAAUUUACAGAGCAGGUAAUUUAUUUACAGAUAACCAAGAAUGCAUCGAAUGAAUUAGAAAUAUGCUUCUGCAUAUGAAGUCUUCUAAACAGGCAACUAAGUGUCUUGGCAAAAUACUAAUGUUUUAUAGCAGGUCCAGCUACUUUGAAUGCAAUGAAUGAAUCAGUCUUUAUUCACAGUUAUCCAUUAAUUCCUUCAUUUAUUAAUCAUUAGCUCAACAGUUUGUUGUAUAUGCACUAUGUGUGAGGUUAUAUAAGGUACUGUGAUGAACACACAGAGAAAGUUUCAGUCUUUGCCCUUCAAGGACCUUAUUCUUUGACAGUUUAUACACUGGGAAAUGGCA